GCCGCAGUGAUGGAAUUGGUAGACAUGCGAGACUCAAAAUCUCGUGCUCGCAAGAGCGUGCCGGUUCGACCCCGGCCUGCGGCACCA
rnacentral:tRNA from 1 species